ensembl:lncRNA
GGGAAUUCUCCCAAUCCUGGAUGUGCCACAUGCAUCCAUCACUGCUCUCCGGUUUUCCUGUGAUUUACGUCUCCUGGUGCCACACGACUGUCCGGUAGAGGCCGACCAUGGCCGCUCCAUCACCCCAGCCUGUCCCUUUGCUGAUACACUGUGGUAUUAACCACUGCCUACUGACAUCCAAGAGAUCAGCUCUGGGAACAGGACCUGAGCCCAAGGACCAUGCCCCAGGACUACCUGACAUGAUGACUCCUUGCUGUCCCCAGUCCACCUGGCCGUGCUGCUGCUCCAGUUUCAACUGUUCUGCCUUAUUAUUAUUUGACCAUGCUGGUCAUUUAUGAACAUUUGAACAUCUUGGCCAUGUUCUGUUAUCAUCUCCACCCGGCACAGCCAGAAGAGGACUGGCCACCCCACAUAUGCUCUCUCUAAUUCUCUCUUUCUUUCUCUCUCUCGGAGGACCUGAGCCCUAGGACCAUGCCCCAGGACUACCUGACAUGAUGACUCCUUGCUGUCCCCAGUCCACCUGACCGUGCUGCUGCUCCAGUUUCAACUGUUCUGCCA